rnacentral:rRNA from 1 species
GUGCCAGCAGCCGCGGUAAGACAGAGGUGCCGAGCGUUAGGCGGAAUCACUGGGCUUAAAGCGUGUGUAGGCGGACUUCUAAGUACCUUGUGAAAUCCCACGGCUCAACCGUGGAACUGCUUGGUAUACUGGUUGUCUUGAGCCACUUAGGGGCAGUCGGAACAGACGGUGGAGCGGUGAAAUGCGUAGAUAUCGUCUGGAACGCCAACGGUGAAAACAGACUGCUGGGAGUGUGCUGACGCUGAGACACGAAAGCCAGGGGAGCAAACGGGAUUAGAUACCCCUGUAGUCC